AAUUAUUAGUCUUCAACGAGGAAUGCCUAGUAUGCGCAAGUCAUCAGCUUGCGCAGAUUACGUCCCUGCCCUUUGUACACACCGCCCGUCGCUCCUACCGAUUGGGUGUGCUGGUGAAGUGUUCGGAUUGGCGAAGCGGGUGGCAACACCUGCUUUUGCCGAGAAGUUCAUUAAACCCUCCCACCUAGAGGAAGGAGAAGUCGUAACAAGGUUUCCGUAGGUGAACCUGCGGAAGGAUCAUUG
rnacentral:rRNA from 1 species